rnacentral:rRNA from 1 species
GACGAACGCUGGCGGCGUGCUUAACACAUGCAAGUCGUACGGUAAGGCCCUUUCUGUGGUACACGAGUGGCGAACGGGUGAGUAACACGUGAGUAACCUGCCCACAACUUUGGGAUAACGCUAGGAAACUGGUGGUAAUACUGGAUAUGUGCUCCUGCCGCAUGGUGGGGGUUGGAAAGCUCCGGCGGUUGUGGAUGGACUCGCGGCCUAUCGGCUUGUUGGUGGGGUAGUGGCCUACCAAGGCGGCGACGGGUAGCCGGGCUGAGAGGGUGACCGGCCACAGUGGGACUGAGAUACGGCCCCGGCUCCGACGGGAGGCAGCAGUGGGGAAUAUUGCACAAGGGGCGCAAGCCUGAUGCAGCAACGCCGCGGGCGGGAGGACGGCCUUCGGGUUGGAAAACGCUUUCAGCAGGGACGAAGCUUUUUGUGCCGGUACCUGCAGAAGAAGCACCGGCUAACUACGUG